CAGCAGCCGCGGGAAUACGAAGGGUGCAAGCGUUAAUCGGAAUUAUUGGGCGUAAAGGGUGCGUAGGCGGUUUGACAAGUUCUAUGUGAAAUCUAUGGGCUCAACCCAUAGUCUGCAUGGAAAACUGUCAGGCUUGAGGAUGGGAGAGGUGAGUGGAAUUUCCGGUGUAGCGGUGAAAUGCGUAGAUAUCGGAAGGAACACCUGUGGCGAGAGCGGCCCACUGGACCAUUUCUGACGCUGAUGCACGAAAGCUAGGGGAGCAAACAGGAUUAGAUACCCCAGUAGUCCCUGUCUCUUAUAC
rnacentral:rRNA from 1 species